rnacentral:lncRNA from 1 species
AUGAUUGUGAGCAUUAAAGUUUCUGCUCUCCUGCAGGGAGCAUCACAUCCUGAGGGGUUACUCCACUCACUAACAUCAAGAUCCUAUAGGAAAGAAGCUUCUUUUAUAGAUCUCAGCCAUAUUAUUUACGCCAGCAGCAUGUUUCCAGCAAGGGGAGACCGCGUAACAAAAUGCUGCCCUCUGGCCCGUGCCUGCAGAUCGCUUUGGUACGCGACUUCUGAAGCCCUUUCUGCCGUUACUAGAACAAAGCAGUGGUUUCCUCUCUCAUCUCCUGCGAGAGCCGCGGGGCCGGCCAGGCCGUUCGCGCCGCGUGUGAUAGAGAGGGGGUUUGCACGGUGGUCUGAGACUUGGGGGUCUGCUUUCACGCAGCUUCCAGUGCUUUAAUCCUGCUGGUGAGGCAGUUCUCCCCGGGGGCAGCCGAGUGUCCGUGUUGGCCAGCGGUUUCGUAGGGAAUACGUCUCUGUAAAACUCCGGUGAGUAGUCCUUGGGGCAGUGGUUGCUAAGAAAAUACGAAAUUAUUGACGUGUAUGUCCUUUCCAUCAAAAGCAUUUCCCAAUUAGUUGGUUCAGAGUGAUUAGCGCUGGUAACCUGCUGUCAAUCACUGCUCCUAUUUAUUUAUAGAAGGCUUGGUGAUUAAACUGCUUUGAAAUAAAGGCAAAAAUGAAUAUUUUGCA